UAGGGAAUCUUCGGCAAUGGGGGGCAACCCUGACCGAGCAACGCCGCGUGAGUGAAGAAGGUUUUCGGAUCGUAAAACUCUGUUGUUAGAGAAGAACGUGUGUGAGAGUGGAAAGUUCACACAGUGACGGUAACUUACCAGAAAGGGACGGCUAACUACGUGCCAG
rnacentral:rRNA from 1 species